GACAGAGGGUGCAAACGUUGUUCGGAAUUACUGGGCGUAAAGCGCGUGUAGGCGGCCCUGCAAGUCGGAUGUGAAAUCCCACGGCUCAACCGUGGAAGUGCAUUCGAAACUGCAGGGCUAGAGUCCUGGAGAGGAAGGUGGAAUGCUUGGUGUAGAGGUGAAAUUCGUAGAUAUCAGGAGGAACACCGGUGGCGAAGGCGGGUCUCUGGGCCGUAACUGACGCUGAGGAGCGAAAGCGUGGGGAGCGAACAGG
rnacentral:rRNA from 1 species